rnacentral:rRNA from 1 species
AGCGAACGCUGGCGGCAGGCCUAACACAUGCAAGUCGAACGAACCUUUCGGGGUUAGUGGCGGACGGGUGAGUAACACGUGGGAACGUGCCUUUAGGUUCGGAAUAACUCAGGGAAACUUGUGCUAAUACCGAAUGUGCCCUUCGGGGGAAAGAUUUAUCGCCUUUAGAGCGGCCCGCGUCUGAUUAGCUAGUUGGUUGAGGUAAUGGCUCACCAAGGCGACGAUCAGUAGCUGGUCUGAGAGGAUGAUCAGCCACAUUGGGACUGAGACACGGCCCAAACCCCUACGGGAGGCAGCAGUGGGGAAUCUUGCGCAAUGGGCGAAAGCCUGACGCAGCCAUGCCGCGUGAAUGAUGAAGGUCUUAGGAUUAUAAAAUUCUUUCACCGGGGACGAUAAUGACGGUACCCGGAGAAGAAGCCCCGGCUAACUUCGUG